rnacentral:tRNA from 1 species
GGGUCGAUAGCUCAACGGUAGAGCAGCAUCCUUUUAAGUUGUUGGUUCCGGGUUCGAAUCCCGGUCGACCCACCA